rnacentral:rRNA from 1 species
CCAAACUGUUGCCUCGGCGGGAUCUCUGCCCCGGGUGCGUCGCAGCCCCGGACCAAGGCGCCCGCCGGAGGACCAACCUAAAACUCUUAUUGUAUACCCCCUCGCGGGUUUUUUUAUAAUCUGAGCCUUCUCGGCGCCUCUCGUAGGCGUUUCGAAAAUGAAUCAAAACUUUCAACAACGGAUCUCUUGGUUCUGGCAUCGAUGAAGAACGCAGCGAAAUGCGAUAAGUAAUGUGAAUUGCAGAAUUCAGUGAAUCAUCGAAUCUUUGAACGCACAUUGCGCCCGCCAGUAUUCUGGCGGGCAUGCCUGUCCGAGCGUCAUUUCAACCCUCGAACCCCUCCGGGGGGUCGGCGUUGGGGAUCGGCCCUGCCUUGGCGGUGGCCGUCUCCGAAAUACAGUGGCGGUCUCGCCGCAGCCUCUCCUGCGCAGUAGUUUGCACACUCGCAUCGGGAGCGCGGCGCGUCCACAGCCGUUAAACACCCAACUUCUGAAAUGUUGACCUCGGAUCAGGUAGGAAUACCCGCUGAACUUAAGCAUAUCAAUAAGCGGAGGAA